GCCGCCUUGGCGUAGAUGGUUCGCGCGCCUGUCUGAAAAGCAGGAGGACCUGGUUCAAUUCCAGGAGACGGCA
rnacentral:tRNA from 1 species